UAAGAGUAAAAUAAACAAAGCCUAGCUGAGGUUUUUGAUCCAAGUGGGUUUACCAUCUCACAUUCAUCGUUGUACAGUACAAGAGGAAUGGAUAACUCUUUGGAAAACAGUUCACUGGCUUUGAAGAUUGUGCCGUCUCUAAAAUCUUCAAGAGCAGUGCUCUCUUGAUUUUGCCAUUCAAAGAUCUUGUCCAUUGUCCCUGGACUUUCUAAAACCAGCUUUAGCAAAGGCCUUAAAGGAAUUAGCUGAAACGUAUCUUGGUCUGCCACUUGUUUCACAAUCCCCGUCAAUGUGUCUCUCUUUUGGGUGUAUUAGACACCAGGGAAAGGCACUUCUUUUGGAUGAACAAAGCAUCCAGACUGUGUAAAGUACUGCAUUUGCUUGUACUCUGACUCAAAGCCCUGAAAUGGUUGAGCUGCCAAUGCAAAAUUUUCUAAAAAACUCUGGCUCUCAGGACUGUCAAGGUGGCCUAUGUCUCUUAAAAAGAGGCUGUUUUUCUUUGUAGGGAUCCAACAACAUCACUGACAAGGCUACACUCUUAAAAAAAAAGGUUCCUUGAGGUUCUAUAUAGAACCUUGGGGUUCUAUACUUGGCCAGUAGAACCUUUUACCCAAAAAAUGGUUCCAUUUAGAACCCUUUGACUGCAAAGAACCUUUUUGAUUAAAACGGUUCUAUAAUUUUUGAAUCAUAACAUAAUUAUUUAGUAAAGAUUAUGAAAUAAUUAUAAGUUAUAACACAGAGAGACAAAGCUUUUUGAGUCAAAACCUAAUAAAAUGAAUGCUGUCGUCAAAAACUUAAUCAGUGUACAGUAUGAUGGGAUUUUUUUAUGCAGGUUUGUACAAUAGCAUAUAACUUAUAGGCCUAGUUUAUGUUUAACAUUUUUGACAAAUUAUUUUGUGAAAUAAAUAAAAUAACCAAUUUAUUUAGACUGUGCAGUAACAUGUUGUUAUGGUUUAAUAAUUUAUUUAAAACUAAUAAUCAUAAAAAAGCCCUCUGGUGACGUCAGUCAUUGACAAGGACAUCGUCAUGGACAGGUGGUGAAGAGCCUCGAGAGAAGGUUAAUUUUUCGAAAGGAGAAGUCCACUAUUUCAGCUUCAUCAUUCAGCCUGGAAACUGAACUGCUUCAUAAAACUUGUGCUUGAAAAGUGUCAUGGGACCCAUAUUAAGUUUCCAAAUUUGAUCUGCUGCACACAAG